rnacentral:lncRNA from 1 species
UUCGACGUAGCAUAUCAUUGCUGUAAUUUUCUGGUACAAAACUCACACAAGGAAGGGCUUACAAUGGAGGAAGACACACACAAACUGCUGCUGUUUCUUCUUCUCUGUUACUUCCCCGGUUUCUGCUCACUUUCGACUGCUACCCACUGCCCUUCUCUCAAUAAUUUCAGCUCCAUGUAACCUACCACUUGGAAAAAAUAAUACACUUAACACACAUUCAACUCUAGCUAACAUUAAGCUAACUCUAGCCAACUAGCCUUACAGCACAGUAACAUUAACAGUUGGUCCUGUCGGAAAAAAAGAGAUGAUAUUUGUAUAGGUAUUUUGUCAAUCAAUUUCUUACAUAAACAAAAACAAUUUUUUGUGGUCUAUAAAUUGAUCCUAUUGUUUGUUUUAAUUUAACCUUUUAAUGUGCUCUAAGGAGAAAAUUCAGCGUUAACCAUUGAGGUAGUGGAUUGAGAGCAGACUCAUCACAGGUUUAGGCCAAGAGCUCUUUCACAAGCAGAAACUGUUCCCAAUCAUCUGUGCAAACCAGCCACCAUUGUUUACCACAAUUUAAUUGUAAAAUGAGACUUCAAUGCUUGUUGCAAGCUAAGGAAGAAAUGUAAUGUGGAUGUACCAUGAGUGACACAUGCUUAAAAACUGCAUAUCCUGUCGAUAAUCACCACCUGUAAGUAUAAAACGAUUACUAUUAUAAGUUGAUAAGUGUCACGACCCGAAUCCCGGAUCCAUGACCGACACAUAGGCAAGGUUCCCCUCAAAGGUUCCAUACCUAUGCGAACCCAAACUUACACACAAACUUAUCCUAACUCAAUCAGAG